UGAUUUCACUUUUAUCGCACCUGUCAAGGCAUGCCAAGCAUGAUGGUCGACAUAAGCGCUUACCAAAUCUUUCCAGAGUUUCUAAAUAGCAUACAAAUGAGAAUAAAUCGUUUCGGUCAUGCGUUAAAAGUGGUGAUUGGCAGCUGAUCACAUAUUCUGCAGGUGUGCUUGGUUGCUAAGUAACGCACAGAAUGGUCGGGGGACGAUAAAGGCAGAACUUGAAGCAUUAGAUUAAAGAUACUCUCUCCUAAUUAUAAUUUUUACUAGUAACUCAUCAGCUGAAGCAGGUUUAUAGUGUAGCAGUUCACUGAAUGGUUUGUGAUUUGGUCUGAAAAAAUAUGUUAUUUGGAAAUGGAUCGAUACAAGCGCCAGAUUAGACUCCGUUGUGACCGUGGAUUACCUAUCAAACGAGAUACACCCGUGAAACCAGCGCUCACCAGACGAGACAAGCACAGGAAACUUCUAUUCCGCAAGCAUUAUGAAGCUUUUCCAGAAGAACCUGAGAGGGAAGUCACGAAUGACUCCACUGUCAAACCAAAGAGCCCAGUAUCUGCCAACACUGUACACCCCAAAUCUACUUUUAGCUUAAGCACACCUGCACUUACUGAAACUACCGGACACAAAGCAACCUUACCUGCCGUUCAGGUGACUGUAGUAAAGGCUCAUGAAGGUGAUGAAAUGUCGGGUAAAGAAGACGAGCAAAGCUUGGCAGUGACUCUGGAAAGCUUCACAUUAUCUAGCAUGGAGACUGACACAACUUUCAGCUCUGGUGACACAGAGGAUGAGGACUUUUUGACCUCCGCAACUUCUAACAAUCUUCCCUCUCCAGAGAUCUUCAGAAGAGAAAACCAGGGUGUGUCUGAGUGCAUUUUGGAAACCUUCAAUUUCUCCAUUGGGGAAGACCUGCUGGGUCUCCAUCGUCACAUAAAAAACUCCACUUUGUUGGAUGUCAGCCACGCUGAGAGCAUACACAUGCAUCAUCCCCCUAACCUUUCUACCAUCCUGGAUGCCUCCACUAUUCUUGCUGAAAAGACCUGUGAGAUCAGCAACAACAGAGAAGCCGGAUCUGCUGCUAAAAUACAAAAUGACUCGUUGAAAUCAGACAAAGCCUUGAAGAGGAAAACCCCACCAAGACUCAGCUACAGAAGACCUAUCUUGUGUAAGAAGAAGGUUUCAUUCAAAAGCCCUGUAAUUGCUGAGACCUUUGAUGGAAAAUGCAUCCCAGCUUCAAAGUUAAUGACUCACAGUCUCAACAAGCCAUUGCAAAUGUCCAGCCCACCUGAGGAUUUGAAGCCUGAUGCAGAGAUCGGCUCGGAAGAGGAAACAUUACCUCUGACCAUGUUGCUAAAAAGGUCUGUGAAAACUAGCCAUAGGGAACCCAAGCUCUUUGACUUUGCCACUGACAAGGAGAGAGAUACUCUCUUUCAGGUCAUGAGAGAAAGAUGUGUGAAACUCAGAAGUGUUACUUUAUUUCCCUUCACAGCUGUUUAGUGCACCGAACCAUCUUUCCUGCCACAUUUAAAGCUAGAAUAUCGCAUGCAUAAAACUCCGGCUUUACCCCCUCAUCUGGAUUAGAUUAGUCUAAUUGUAAAAAGUCCUAUAUAAAAAUGGUCUGUUAGUACUUAAAAGAAGGAGAGAAGAAUCGAUGGAACAAACUUUAAAUAACAUUUAAGUACUAAUUAAAGAGACAUGCUAGACUGGCGUUUAGGUUAAUAUGAAAAAAGUGUGAUGUGAAAUGACCACUAGAUGGCACAUAUGCAUUUACCUUGAAAAAACAUUGUCUGUCUUGUCCAUACAGUGAGCUUUUCCACCUUUAAAUAUGAUAUAUAUGUAUAUGUGUGUAUAUAUAUGUUUUUUGCUUGUUGUGCUUGUCUAUAUUUGUAUUUAUUCUCGUAACAUGUGUUACUAUAGACUUUCUAAAUGAAGAAUGAUUUAAAAGCAAAGUUUAAAUGUAUAAGAUAUGUAUUUUAGGUAUACUCCUUCCAUAUUUAUGUAUAUUUGUCUUUGUCCUCAAAAUCUGCAUAUGUAUUUGAUUCAGAAAGUGUCUAAAGCAAAUAAAAAUACAAUAAAAUGCCUGUUGGGGCGAUCACUCGUUCUGUG
ensembl:lncRNA